GGCCCAUCUGUAUCCUGGAGGUGGAGGAAAGGAUUAAAAGGAGAAACAGUAAAGUUAUGAGGAUUUCUGGCUGGGCCAGGCCAGGUCACCUGUGAAAGAGAAGGAAAGAGCACACGUCUGAA